ACGGAAGGCAGCAGUGGGGGAUAUUGCACAAUGGGGGAAACCCUGAUGCAGCGACGCCGCGUGAGUGAAGAAGUAUUUCGGUAUGUAAAGCUCUAUCAGCAGGGAAGAAAAUGACGGUACCUGACUAAGAAGCUCCGGCUAAAUACGUGCCAGCAGCCGCGGUAAUACGUAUGGAGCAAGCGUUAUCCGGAUUUACUGGGUGUAAAGGGAGCGUAGGUGGCCAUGCAAGUCAGAUGUGAAAUCCCGGGGCUCAACCCCGGAGCUGCAUUUGAAACUGCGUAGCUAGAGUGCAGGAGAGGUAAGCGGAAUUCCUAGUGUAGCGGUGAAAUGCGUAGAUAUUAGGAGGAACACCAGUGGCGAAAGCGGCUUGCUGGACUGCAACUGACACUGAGGCUCGAAAGCGUGGGGAGCAAACAGGAUUAGAUACCCUGGUA
rnacentral:rRNA from 1 species